AGCCAAACUAUAAUAUUGCUUCAACGCCAUUUUAAGCGGAGCAAAAAUAAAGGGUGAAGUCCAAAACAAGAUUCUGUGCAAAGAAAUCAACACAGAGUCCUUCUGUGAUAAAGGCUUUAGUGGAGGGAGGUGGCUACAGUCUCGUGGUCCAAACCCCAAAGAACUUUUUUAUUUUCAAGUCCUUGGCUUCAGGGACAGUGCUGUGUGAGCAAGGACUAGAAAAAGAAUCAGAACAUUACGAGCCUUCCCCGCAGUUGAAGUACCCAGUUGGACAGCAGAGGGGGUAAUUCUGUACAUCCAAGGAAAAGCCAUUCCAUCAGCAAAAGGAAGGCCUGGGAUGAAGCUGUGGAGACUGACAUGAAAGGAACAGAUCAAUAUGCAGUGAUGGCUGCUGUCAGUGAGACACCACAGAGCACAGAUCAGCAUUGCAACAACAUGAAAGGAGAGAAGAGUCACGAGCCAUCCCCCAGAAAAACAUACUGAAGCAGUAACAGGGACUUCAAAGAAUGAACACUGCUCCUUUUGGGGUUCUGCACUGCAAAGAUGAAGUUAUUGCUGUGAUUUCAAACAAUUAUAGGGAGAGGGAAGAACUUUCUGGUCUCUGAAGAGUGUGAACCAAGAGGCAUCAAUGGAGGUGUUGACUAAUACUUUUAAAGCAUCCCCUGUGUCUAACAUGAUCCACAAGGAAAGGAACUUCAAUCAGCUCUUCAAAAGCUCUCCAUAGUAUCUCUCACAUCUCUCAGGAACUUCAAUCAGCUCUUCAAAAGCUCUCCAUAGUCUCUCUCACAUCUCUCAAACUUUCAGUAAAUUGCUUAAUUUUUCUGGAACUUACACAGGCAUUUGGAAAUGCUUAGUAAUUUGAGAAAAGGAAACUACUAUGAACAUAACAAGACUAAACUUCUGUUUUACUAAACUACUGGUUAGUAGCUACAGUGAGUUUAGGCAGUUGGAUAUUGUCAAACACUAAGAAAUACCUACCAGGCCAAUAUGAUGGCUCACUGGUUUUUAGAACACAUCUUGCCUGAACUGCUAAGAGAACAUUAGUAAAGCCACAGUAAAUACACAUCCUCCUAAACUGCAUGUAAAGCUACAGCUAAAGCAAAGCUUUAUUUGUAAAGCAGACAGGUGAAGUAAAUAACAGAAAAGGUCUGUUAGUAGCUCAGCUUUAUCAGAAUUUUAAACUGAUAAAUCAUCCCUUGCUUAGCUAAGAACAACCAACACACACUGCCAGGAAGACAAACACAACCUCUCUUUUGGCUCCAGGAGCUCAAGUGACAAAAAUUUCUGUUUCUUUUAAUUGAGAGAUACAUAGAGUGGUAAUGAGGAAGUUUGAAACAUCUAUUCCUAGGGGACAUUGGUAAAAAAAAGCAACUAAACUUGGGACUAAAUACUAGGGACAAUGUAACAAAAAUUGUAACAUUCUGUUGAUCUGUUAACUCUGUUUCCCACAUUUUCAAGAAACAUAUUUAAUGUUUCAGGGAUGCAGCAAGUUAUGCCUGAGAGCACUAUCAUUCACCAGUUCACAUGAAAAUUUUGCAGAAAUCAGAUCUCAAAAUCUUUGAGCAAUCAAAAGGCUUUUAAGUUGGCCCUUAAUUCUAAUUUAAAUGCUUAUUCUACAUAAUUAACUCAGCAAGAGUAGGUGAUCAAAUCUUCAUACCUGCAGAAAAGGUCAGACAUGACUGCUCCUUGGAUAUCACUUAUUAAUCUUUGGAAACCAGAUUUGGAUCUCAUAAAAGAGGAAGAGUUAUUCUGGUAUGGAUUUCAUGGAGCUGCAGCAAUGCAGCUUUGACAGUCACCUCUCCUCAGAGUUUACACCUCUUCACAGCACAAAUGACAGAUUGCUGCAUCCAGCCUCAGGAAGGGAACUGCUGUUUCACAUUCCACAACCUGGCUCCUUAUUGUUAAGUCUUUAUCAAAAGCAAGAAACCUCUGAAUAAAUUAUGUUAUGAACAGAAGUUUUGGCAAGACAAAGACGACACUUCACACAGCAGUUAAUAUAAAGAGAGGAUAAUAGUCCUGCCAAAGACAAUAAAUACUAGAAGAAAUGGCUUUCAGUUUUAGAGGCCCUGAGCAAUAUUGCUGGUGUUCAUUUUAAGAUCUGCUUCUUCUACGACACAAUUCCCUUAAGAUUGUUCUUAAAUGUGAAAAGGAUGGAUGUUUUUGUUUUGGGAUCAUUCAAAAUGUUGGAAUUGCAAACCACAGGCUUGAACUGAGGUGAGAGUUAACAUCACUUUGCCACUAAUUUCUUUCAACUGCAUCCUUCUCUUUUGUGAUCUCCCUUCCCCCCACUAAAAAAAUCUCCAGGCAUUACUAUCGAAAAUAUACUCAUGUAAUAAAUCAUGUAUUUGCUCUCA